rnacentral:lncRNA from 1 species
GUACAGUCACUUCUGCUCCAUGAAAGUGAGGUCAUCAUUCGUUUCAGGAAGUUGAGUGAGGCCUGAGACAGCAAUGUUUCGUUUAGCCUGGCGGUGGCCCUCCUUGUCUUCAAGAAGAGCAUCCGUGGCUAGCAGUGGAAGAUGGGGUUGGGCCCCAGAUGGUCACAGGAAUGAGGAAAGAAUGACUCUGGCUCCUAGCAGCAGAAUCUUAACUGAAGACGCGAUCUUACUGCAUUGACCAGGAUGGUCUCAAACUCCUGGCUACAGGCUAUCCUCCUGCCUCUGUCUCCCAAAGCGCUGGGAUUACAAGCGUGAGCCACCAGGCCUGGCCCAAUUGCUUCUUAACAACUUACUAUUCUUUGUUCACUACAGUGUAUACAUAACUGACUUUUUAUUUGGAUCUUCAUUUUGUAAUGAAGGCUCUGGUCACAUGUAAGACUUGUAUUAAAUAAAUUUGCCUGCUGUUCUGUUAAUCUGUGUUAUGCUAAUUUAAUUCUUGAGCCCAGCUGGGUCCUGGAGAGGAUAGAGUGAAAUUUUGUGGCAGCUACGUAAGUCAAUGAAAUUGGAAACAGAAAAACAAUCUUUAAAAAUCAAUAAAAUCAUAAACUUAUUCUUUGAGAAGAUCAAUAUAGUUUAUAAACCUUUCAACUGACUCACCCACAGGGAAAAAGAAGAAAACAAAAAUCAGGAGGGAGGGAAUGUUAUUACAAAUUUUGCGGAUAUUAAAAGGAUUAUAAGGGAACAUUACAAACAACUCCUUGUCCAUAAAUUGAUCAAUUUACAUGACAUGGAAUAUUACUUGAAAGGCACAAACUACCAAAGCUCACUCAGGAAGAAUGGAUAACCUAGAUACUUGCGUGUAUGUAUGUGUGUGCAUACAUACAAUUUUUACACACACACACACACACACACAUAUAUAUAUAUAUAUGCACAGUUAAUUUUUUCUAUCUUUUGUAGAGAUGGGUUUUUACCAUGUUGCCUGGGCUGGUCUUGAACUCCUGGGCUCAAGCGCUCUGCCCACCUUGGCCUCCCAAAGUGCUGGGAUUACAGGCUUGAAACACUGCACCUGCCUGGCCUGAUAUAUAUUUCAAAACUGAUUUAAUAGAUAAAGCCUUCCAACAACAACAAUAAAAAAAACAAUAUUGAGAUGAAUUCAUUGGUGGAUUCUACUAAACAUUUAAAGAGUAAAGAUGUGAAUUUUAAAUAAACCCAGAAACAAAAAGAGAAGGGAACACCCA